UACGUAGGCAGCGAGCGUUGUUCGGAGUUACUGGGCGUAAAGCGUGCGUAGGCGGUGUCUUAAGUUUGUUGUGAAAUCUCCCGGCUUAACCGGGAGGGUGCGGCGAAUACUGAGAUGCUGGAGUGCCGGAGAGGUAAGCGGAAUUCCUGGUGUAGCGGUGAAAUGCGUAGAUAUCAGGAGGAACACCUGCGGUGUAGACGGCUUACUGGACGGUAACUGACGCUGAGGCACGAAAGCGUGGGUAGCAGACAGG
rnacentral:rRNA from 1 species